rnacentral:tRNA from 1 species
GCAUUAAAAGUUUAAUAUUAAACAUUGGUUUUGUAAACCAAAAAUGAGGAUUAGAUUCCCUCUUAUUGCU